GACGAACGCUGGCGGCGUGCUUAACACAUGCAAGUCGAACGAUGAAGCCUAGCUUGCUAGGUGGAUUAGUGGCGAACGGGUGAGUAAUACGUGAGUAACCUACCUUUAACUCUGGGAUAAGCCUGGGAAACUGGGUCUAAUACCGGAUACGACCAAUCUCCGCAUGGGGUGUUGGUGGAAAGCGUUAUGUAGUGGUUAUAGAUGGGCUCACGGCCUAUCAGCUUGUUGGUGAGGUAACGGCUCACCAAGGCGACGACGGGUAGCCGGCCUGAGAGGGUGACCGGCCACACUGGGACUGAGACACGGCCCAGACUCCUACGGGAGGCAGCAGUGGGGAAUAUUGCACAAUGGGCGCAAGCCUGAUGCAGCGACCCCUCGUGAGGGAUGACGGCUUUCGGCUUGUAAACCUCUGUUAUCAUGGAAAUAAGAGAGAUUGACGGUACCUGCGGAGAAAGCGCCGGCUAACUACCUGUCCGCAUCCGCGGUAUUAUUUAGGGUGCGAGCGUUCUUCCGGAAUUAUUGGGGCGUACGGAGCUUGUCGGCUUUUUGUCCUCCCUUGCUGUUAAAGGCCGGGCUUAUUUCUUUUUUGGUUUUGUUUUGGUCCUUCUUCCUCUCCCGCUUUCGACUGAAA
rnacentral:rRNA from 1 species